UACGAACGCUGGCGGCGUGCCUAAUACAUGCAAGUUGAGCGAUGAAGAUUGGUGCUUGCACCAAUUUGAAGAGCAGCGAACGGGUGAGUAACGCGUGGGGAAUCUGCCUUUGAGCGGGGGACAACAUUUGGAAACGAAUGCUAAUACCGCAUAACAACUUUAAACAUAAGUUUUAAGUUUGAAAGAUGCAAUUGCAUCACUCAAAGAUGAUCCCGCGUUGUAUUAGCUAGUUGGUGAGGUAAAGGCUCACCAAGGCGAUGAUACAUAGCCGACCUGAGAGGGUGAUCGGCCACAGUGGGACUGAGACACGGCCCAAACUCCUACGGGAGGCAGCAGUAGGGAAUCUUCGGCAAUGGACGAAAGUCUGACCGAGCAACGCCGCGGGAGUGAAGAAGGGUGUCGGAUCGUAAAACUCGGUUGGUAGAGAAGAACGUUGGUGAGAGUGGAAAGCUCAUCAAGUGACGGUAACUACCCAGAAAGGGACGGCUAACUACGUG
rnacentral:rRNA from 1 species